UUUUAUUUGAGAGUUUGAUCCUGGCUCAGGAUGAACGCUGGCGGCGUGCCUAACACAUGCAAGUUGAGCGAUUUACUUCGGUAAAGAGCGGCGGACGGGUGAGUAACGCGUGGGUAACCUACCCUGUACACACGGAUAACAUACCGAAAGGUAUGCUAAUACGGGAUAAUAUAUUUGAGAGGCAUCUCUUGAAUAUCAAAGGUGAGCCAGUACAGGAUGGACCCGCGUCUGAUUAGCUAGUUGGUAAGGUAACGGCUUACCAAGGCGACGAUCAGUAGCCGACCUGAGAGGGUGAUCGGCCACAUUGGAACUGAGACACGGUCCAAACUCCUACGGGAGGCAGCAGUGGGGAAUAUUGCACAAUGGGCGAAAGCCUGAUGCAGCAACGCCGCGUGAGUGAUGAAGGCCUUCGGGUCGUAAAACUCUGUCCUCAAGGAA
rnacentral:rRNA from 1 species